GCCAGGCGUGGUGGUGCAUGCCUGUAAUCCCAGCUACUCGGGAGGCUGAGGCAGAAGAAUCACUUGAACCCAGGAGGCAGAGGUUGCAAUGAGCUGGAUGGUACCAUUGCACUCCAGCCUGGGCAACAAAGUGAGACUCCAUCUCUU
rnacentral:SRP_RNA from 1 species